rnacentral:lncRNA from 1 species
UGCUGUGCCUCCCAGCUCUGUAUCAUUUCCAAAGCCCCAGAAAGGGGGACUUGGAGGUGCUGGGAUCUGAGUCCCAUGACAGUUUUUCCUGCCACGUUAUCCACUGGCAUCGCCAGACCUGGCCAUUGGGAAACUCAGCAGGAGCUGCUCCGGGGAAGGUGGCGGUGGUGGGAAGUGGAAGGAAGCGUGCAUCACCUUCCCACCUCUCCCAUAAAUGAAGUGUGGUGGCAGAGUGUUUAAAGUAAGACCCAGAGGGCCUAAGUUGGAGGUUCCAGGCAGCUGAGGACUCCAGCUGAAGCUCUGGAGAUGACCUGGUGGCAUGUAGGUGUCUGGUUGUUUGGACUGGGAGUCAAAGGGAUGGGGAGGGGUGUGGGCUGAGCAUGUCAUAAAUCGUGCCAGCCUUAGGAGGACCCUUGAUCUUUAACACACAGAUCCUCUCUGGCUGCUACGGCAUUUACUUGCUGUAUGAACAUGAGAAGGAAUAUUGAGGACAGCAUUCACAGCCACUCUCAUGUGAGUUUGGAUUUGGGAGCAAGGGGGGACAUCCUCACUUGUAGGUUCCUUCAUAACCUCUAAAGUGCCCUGCCAGUUCCCUGAUGAAGACCUCUAUCAGACCAUAAGCCACAGUCUGGCAAUGUUUGUCCUAUGGCAUUGGUAGACCAUGUCAUGCAUGUUCCCUGCUGACCUCAGCAUCUGCUGCAUCACCGUGCCUUGUGAGACCUGCAGCUGUGCUGCCCUCCCAUUACUCCAGCUGGAAUCAAACCCUUCUGGGUAAAUUCUUACAUCUCAGCCAUACACAGCCUCACAAGAGCUCCAAAGGACUCAGGGAUGUUAGAGAGUUGUUGGCCAUGUCUGAUGCCCUCGCACAGGCUGGGUGGUGGGUGACUGUGAGGGACCGCAGGCAGAUCUGUUAGGGUUUCCACCUGCCUCUGAUAAGCUCCUUUCCCUUAGGGGAGAGACGUAACGUGACAGCUGGCUGAAGCCAGGACCUCAGAAAUGGAGCUGUCCAGAACAAACAUUCAAUUAAAAAGAAAAAAAAAAAAAAAAAAAAGACAGAGCAGAGCAACCUAAUAUUUUGCUUCCUUCUGUUCCUGACUAUAAAGUGAGGAUAAUAAAUGAUCUCUUAGCAGUAUGACA